rnacentral:misc_RNA from 1 species
GGUCUAGUGGUAUGAUUCUCGCUUCGGGUGCGAGAGGCCGCGAGUUCGAUUCUCGCAACGCCCCUAUUUAUGCCCCUGCAAAUGUUCAGUUUUCUAAAAUAAAAUGACGGAUCUCAAAUUUGGAGGAGUCGAUUAUAACAAAACGAGGACCAGGGGAAAAAGUCCAACAAUCAAGAUCGAAAAUGUCGAUCUCAAAAUUUAUGUUCCAAUAACCCUAGCUUUCUUGCUCUUUGCCUCAUCUAUUCUCGCAGACGACGUCGUUGUCCUCACUGAGGACAACUUCGAGAAGGAGGAAGGCCAAGAUAGUGGCGCCCUCGUCGAGUUCUUCGCUGCUUGGUACUAUCAUCUCGUUCUCUGUCCCGUCCCUUUCUCGGUUCUCUAUGUUGUUCAUGAAACGCUAAGAAUUAUUUAUAUCACAUGGGAAACCAUAGCUGAAUUCUCUAGUUAAAUAAGCUUAACUUGCGACAUUGAUUGUGUUUCUAUUUGGAUAUCUGAGUUGAAAGGUAGCUCCGGCGAUUCAUGAGCUAUGGGGUGAUCUCUGUUGAUUUAGCACUGUAAUGCCGUUUGUGUUUCAGUUAGUCCGUUUGGAUUAGCAGAUGGGAAUUUGGUUCUGUUUCUUACAGUUAUGGGAUACAUAUUAUUUGAUCACCGUGGGAACAGGAGUGGUUGGAAUUGAAGGAAGCUGUGUGAAUAAUGUUUAGAAACAUGUGCUAUUGCUGAUUUCUAAUUGAGGUGGCUAAUAACUAAUAAUGCAUUGUUGACGCUCAAUUCAAGCCGUGAACGGUUAUAUAUUAGUCUGGGUUAUUUUUGCAUGCUAAAAACCCUUGUAAUUGAACGCCAAGUGAUUAUGCAGUUGCAAAAUGAUGAUACGUGCACAAGAGAUUCGAUAUAUAACUUUGAAACUAGAAAAUGGGACUGAGGUGUGGUCACUGUAAAAAGCUUGCUCCGGAGUAAUGAGAGACUUGGCACAAGUUUCAAGAAGGCAAAAUCUAUUUUAAUUGGAAAGGUCAGCUAUUCAGAUCACAAUGCCAUUGAUUUCUUGCUUCUUUAUUUUUAUCCGCAGUCAAUUUAAUUGAUUAUUUCCUAUAUAUAACUGGGUUCUCUCUCUCUCAUUAAUUGUCUCUAAUUUUUCAAUAUUUUUUUAUGCGUCCUUUCCCAACUCAACACGGACAUGGUGAAGCUUUCCUCAUGACCGUUCAUAGAAAUAAAUUUUCCACUCUCAUCUGAUAUUUCUUGGUGCAGGUGGAUUGUGAUACACAUAAAAGCCUGUGCGGCAAAUAUGAUGUUUCUGGAUACCCCACAAUUAAAUGGUUUCCUUAAAGGGUCAUUGGAACCCAAAAAGUGAUUACUUUUCCGCCAAACUCUUACCCUUUAUUUGUUCUUCGCAAUAUAAAAUUGUAGGACUACUGUGGACUACUUUUGCACACCAUACUCAGAAAGACAUUCUUAUCCUCUCUGAAUUUCAUUAAAUGCUUUCCCCUUGAUUUCAUUAAGUGAACAAACAAUGAUUUAGGCCCAUUUGUGCUGAAAUGGCAUUUUAUAGGUAUGAAGGUGCACGUACUGCCGAAGUCCUUACAUAGUUUGUGAGUUCUGAAGGAGGUAGUAUUUUAUCCUUUUAAAUUUACAAAAUGUUGAAUUGAUGAAUAAACUACUUGUCGUCAUAGACUAAUGAUUUGUCUGUUAUUUUACCUCUGCAUUUUUUUUCCAGGAACCUCAUUAUUUUAUGCCUUUUCACUGCAUGUUUGCAAAUUUAAUUUUAAUUUGGAGUUUUCAUAGUUUUUCUGUUGUUUGACUCUUAAAAUUGGUAUAUUGCUUUAAAAUAGUUGCUUGUGAAAUUCAGUUUACAUUCUAAAUAUAUAAUAUUUUUUCCAUUUAUAUGUAGGAACUAAUGUGAAGAUAGCUGCAAUUCCGUCCAAUUUUAUGGGUUGUAAUUGAGUACAGCUAAGCCAGCUCAAGCUUGAUGUAAACCUAAUUAUGUGAACUUGAGCUCGGGUUUCUUCUGUUUAGCAACCCAAGGAGCUGGCUUGAGCUUGAGCUGGUCACUGUACAAUAAUUUUUUACCAUGUAGGCACCUGGGAUACAAAUAUUUCUAAAAUUAUUACUUGACACCAUUGCCUUUUGUGAAAGGAGCAAAUGUGGGUCAAACUUAGAAAAGAUGUAGGGGGGCUAGAGGCUAAUACAUGGAUGGCUCAGUCAUUGGCGAUUGUUGCCAAGCAAGUUUAUGCCAAAAGUGCUGAGGGGAUACCUAUUAAAGGAGGAACUGUACCCUUUCUCUCAUUUUUUCUUCUAAUAUAGGAUUUAAGUUACACACACACCCCCACCCACCCACACAUGCUUAGCAGAAAUAAAUAAGUAGUUUACAGCCUUUGUCUCUUUGAAUUCUUAAUGAACUCUUCCACAUUAAACAAAUUUAAUGGCCUAUGAGCCAAAUGCUUUAUUUUAGGUUGGCUAAGUUCGAUUUUAUGGCUUCAGAUUAUUUGUUUGUUGAGUUGCAAAAUGAGUUUUUUGGGCCAAACUAAGCCUCAGCGGUCCAUAAAAAGCCUGAUUCACUUGUAGUUAUGUUUUGCAAUUAAGUGCAAGUGUGAGAUAGGGAUCCUGAAUUACUCCAAUGUUUGCAGCUAAGCCCUAUUUUUGUUCUUAUUUAAUUUUUUAUUGGCAGGUGUGGCCAUUGCAAACAACUUGCUCCAACCUAUGAGAAGGUUGCAACAGCAUUUAAAUUGGAGGAAGAUGUAAUUAUUGCUAACCUUGAUGCUGACAAAUACAAAGAUUUGGCGGAAAAGUAUGGAGUAAGUGGCUAUCCUACUCUUAAAUUCUUUCCAAAGAGCAACAAAGGCGGUGAAGAUUAUGGUGGUGGGAGGGAUUUAGAUGACUUUGUAACACUCAUCAACGAUAAAUGUGGGACUAGUCGUGAUGGGAAAGGGAGACUUACUUCAAAAGCUGGUAUAGUUGCUACUUUGGAUAACUUGGUUAAAGAGUUUAUAAGUGCUGGCGAUGAUGAGAUGAAAGCAAUUGUUGCCCGCAUGGAAGAAGAAGUUGAUAAGCUUAAGGGAACCACUGCAAGAUAUGGCAAGAUCUACUUGAAAGCUGCCAAUAACUGUGUGGAGAAAGGUGCAGAUUACCCCAAGAAAGAAAUUCAGCGACUUGAGCGUAUGCUUGAAAAGUCAAUCAGUGAAGCAAAGGCAGAUGAAUUCACUCUCAAGAAGAACAUCUUGUCAACCUUUGCUUGAUGAAUGGUAGAAGCCACAAGUGAAGUCACAUCCUCAUUUUGCUUGGAUGUAUUGGCAACCUUUUUCCUGGGGAUUUGUAGUUUUGUCCUGGGAAAACACUGUAGCUGUGGAUGUCCAACUCACUUGUCAGGUUUUGGCAAAUGAAGUUAUAAUUGUAGAAGAGAAGAAAAAGGAUAAAUUUCAUGUUACAAUUAGCAAUAAUACUAUAUUUUCACUUUGAGAUCCGUAGAUGGACUUUCUCACAUGUUACGUUGUAUGGGUUAAUUUGGGACCAUUUAUCAUUUAUGACAUACUGCUUUAGAUGAAUAACUUUGUUGUGCUAAGAUUUAGUUCGUAGGGCUAGUCUGAACACAGGACCGAGCCUUUUGCUUGCUGUUUCUUGAUUAAUUAUUU